rnacentral:rRNA from 1 species
AAGAUAAGCCAGGCAUGUCUCAGUACAAGCCAAAUUAUGGUGAGACCGCGAAAGGCUCAUUAAAUCAGUUAUGGUUCCUUAGAUCGUACCCACAUUUACUUGGAUAACUGUGGUAAUUCUAGAGCUAAUACAUGCAAAUAGAGCUCCGACCGGAGACGGAAGGAGCGCUUUUAUUAGAUCAAAACCAAUCGGUGGCGGGCUUGCUCGUCAUCGUACAACUUGGUGACUCUGAAUAACUUUACGCUGAUCGCACGGUCUCGCACCGGCGACGCAUCUUUCAAAUGUCUGCCUUAUCAACUGUCGAUGGUAGGUUCUGCGCCUACCAUGGUUGUAACGGGUAACGGGGAAUCAGGGUUCGAUUCCGGAGAGGGAGCCUGAAAAACGGCUACCACAUCCAAGGAAGGCAGCAGGCGCGCAAAUUACCCACUCCCGGCACGGGGAGGUAGUGACGAAAAAUAACGAUACGGGACUCAUCCGAGGCCCCGUAAUCGGAAUGAGUACACUCUAAACCCUUUAACGAGGAUCAAUUGGAGGACAAGGGGAGUUUCUAAGAUAAGCCAUGCAUGUCUCAGUACAAGCCAAAUUAAGGUGAGACCGCGAAAGGCUCAUUAAAUCAGUUAUGGUUCCUUAGAUCGUACCCACAUUUACUUGGAUAACUGUGGUAAUUCUAGAGCUAAUACAUGCAAAUAGAGCUCCGACCGGAGACGGAAGGAGCGCUUUUAUUAGAUCAAAACCAAUCGGUGG